UACGUAGGGGGCAAGCGUUGUCCGGAUUUAUUGGGCGUAAAGAGCGUGUAGGCGGUUCGGUAGGUCCGUUGUGAAAACUCGAGCUCAACCUCGAGACGCCGAUGGAAACCCCCGAAACCUAGAGUCCGGAAGAGGAGAAUGGAAUUCCUGGUGUAGCGGUGAAAUGCGCAGAUAUCAGGAAGAACACCCGUGGCUAAGGCGGUUCUCUAGUACGGUACUGACGCUGGAGACGCGAAAGCGUGGGGAGCGAACAGG
rnacentral:rRNA from 1 species